rnacentral:lncRNA from 1 species
UUUUUUUUUUUCUUUUUUUUUUUUUGUCUUUUUGCCAUUUCUUGGGCCACUCCUGCGGCAUAUGGAGGUCCCCAGCCCAGGGGUCGAAUCGGAGCUGCAGCCGCCAGCCUACGCCAGAGCCACAGCAACGCAGGAUCCGAGCCGCGUCUGCGACCUACACCACAGCUCACGGCAACCGCCAGAUCCUUAACCCACGGAGCAAGGGCAGGGACCGAACCCGCAACCUCAUGGUUCCUAGUCGGAUUCGCUAACCACUGCGCCACGACGGGAACUCCUGGUGUGACAUUUCCAACCCCCUCCCUCCCACUCCUGCUCCUUCCCCUUUUCCUCUUCCUCUCUCUCCCUCCAGCCCCUCCGUAUCCUCUGAGCCUCACGGUGAGGGGAUCAGAUCCGCCUUCUACUCCUCACCCACCUGGCAAUCACCUGAUGCAACUGCGCGAUCAAAGAUCCAAAGGAAUUUUAUCAACACCCAGCAUAGAGGUAAAGCCAGGGACAAAAACACCCAAAUCUGUAUGUGGGAGCCUCUGGGUGCCUGACGCUCUGCACGCUUAUUUAAGACAGGUGGCUGUCUUUUCCGCCCCUGUUCAUGAAAGAAAUACUGUCAAGGAAGGCGUCUCCCUGAGGAAGAAGGCGUGGGAAACUGGGGAGGCACUGGGCUCCCUGGCUGGAAAAAUAGGGGUCAAUCUGAUGAGAAACCAGGAAAGCGGAAUUCAAGGGUGGCUCGAGGAGAGGGACCUCCAACACAAUGACACAACCACCUCUGCUUCUUUUAUUAGAGAGGUGCGAAUGCCCCUUCUGGCACAUGGUAACAUGAAAAAGAAAACACAGUUAACGUUAAGCCAUACCUUGGGGGGAAGGGGAGCAUGUUCUAUACAUUAAAAUUCCCAAGCUGUAACAUAAAUAAAUACACCUCCCCGCCAAUGCAGCCGGGGAGAGGAUCGCCAACAAGUCACCUUGGCUUUGGAAGGAAGUUUCCAAUCAUGAAUAUUUUAUCAAUGCAGAAGUAGAAAGUGAUGUACAAACACGAAGAAAACAAACUGCUCUGUCAGAAGCCAGGAAUGAAGAGCCCUAAUAAAUAUUUUAAGUAUAGUCUCAUCAAAAGAUAAUUUGGAAGUAAAAAUAGAAUUUUAUUACACUUUGGCAGCAUCAUGUUGACAAAAGUCUGUGGAAUUAGAUCAACACAGAGAGGCAUGGAGGGAGAGUGUUUUUGGGGUUUUGGGUUUUUUUUUAUCUUUUUAGAGCUGCACCUGCAGCACAGGGAAGUUCCCAGGCAAGGGGUCGCAUCAGAGCUGUAGCUGCCAGCCUACACCACACCCCAGCCACAGCAAGGCAGCAGGAACCGAACUGCAUCUGCGACCAACAUCACAGCUCACGGCAACGUUGGAUCCUUAACCCACUGAGCAAGGCCAGGGAUCGAACCCUAAAAAGAAAAAAAACAAAACAAAAAAAGUGGAAGCGUCCAUCUUUUAGCUUUGCUGCAUGUAAGGGUGGCCAUGGGACCUACCUCUGCAAAAAAAGACAGAAAAUAGAAUUCGUGUUCUGUUGUUCAGGCUUCCAAUAAAUGAUACAGGGGUAUAUGUAUUUUUUCCAGGGCUUGGGGGUGCUCCACAGGGUCUGUUUUUUAAGAAUAAAUUUUACUGGCGUAUAGGUAGCUUUCGGCGUUGUCACUUCAGGUGUGCAGCAGAGUGAAUGAGCUGUACGUAUCCUCACAUCCACAGCUUAUCAGAUUCUUUCCCACAGAGGCUCUCAGGGACUAUUGAUGAGAUUUCCCCCCAGCUAGAAGUAGGUCCCAUCAAUUUUCAUACAAUGGUGUAUACACACUAUAUUUUGUAUACAGUAGUGUAUAUAUGCCAAUCCCAACCCAUGUGUCCCUCCCCCAACAUCUCUCCUCUGGUAACCAUAAGUUUGGUUUCAAAAAUCUUCAAGUCUGUUUUUGCGAAUGACGUUCUUGUGUAUCCUUUUUUUAUUAGAGUCCACAUCUGAGUGAUCUCGUGUGACGUUUGUCUUUCUCUGUCUGACUUACUUCCCUUAGUAUAGCAUCCCUAGGUCCACCCGGGUGGCUGCAAAUGGCAUGCUUUCAUUAUUUUUUAUGGGUGAGUAAUAUUCCACCAUAUAUUUGUACCACAUCACCACAAUGGAAUAUUACUCAGCCAUUAAAAAAAAAACAGGGAAAUUCUGUCAUCUGGGAUGACAUGGAGAGACGUGGAGGAUCUUAUGCUCAGUGACAUAAAUCAGACGGAGAAAGACAAACAUACAUGAGGAAUCUCAAAACACAGGCCAAUUCAUCAUACAGAGGACCUUGUGGUCCCCAGAGGUGGGGGGUAUGGAGUGAGGGGUUACAAGGUUACAAAAUAAAUAAAUACAACCAUAAAUAAUAAAUAAUAACAAAGUUACGAAAUAAAGUCAUGGGGAUACAGUGCACCUCAGAGAGACUACAAUGCAUCAGACUGCAUGAGACGCUUGAAAGUGGCUCAGAGAACAGUUCUCAGCACAAGAAAAAAAUCUGUAACUAGGGGAGGCGACGGGUGUCACCGAGGCCGAUGGGGAUCCUUCCGCCCGCUAUGCAAAGAUCCCUCUGUGGUCUCGCACACCCGCAACGCAUAUAACGAAUGCUCUCUGUCCAAUGCGUCUCCAUCUAACGGGGCAACACUUUUAAAGAAGUCUUUGAAGUGUUUCGAGGCCAAGGUUUUCCUCCCUGAUGAGAGAGAGCUUUCCGGAAAACAUUUCGUCUCUUCCGCUCUGGCUCAUCAUGGAAUAAAGCAAGAGAGAUUCACGCGGGGACAAACUACACUCAGUGGCUCUUCCUACCCUUAAAACUCUCAGGGGAAAACCAACCACAGGGUCCUCAGCCCUUUACACACACAGCUCCUACGUCUGAAAGUGUCUUCAUUGAUUCUGCCAGCUACAAAAGCCUGGUUUGGGCAGAUGCAAAGCUACUGUCUAUAUGAGGGAUGAGCAAGGCCCCAGGGAGGAGGUCCGGGAGCUGUGUUCCUUUCCUGUGACAGAGCAUCACAGAAAAGAGGGUGACCGAGAAGGCCGGCGUCCUCACGGUGGCUCCACAGGUUAAGAACGCGACACAGCGUCUUGUGCGGACGCGGGCUGGAUCCCUGGCCUCACUCAGUGGGUUAAGGAUCCGGCGUGCCCUCAAGCUGCGGUGUAGGUGGCACAUGCAGCUCAGAUCCCGUGUGGCUGUGGCUGUGGUGUAGACAUGCAGCCACAGCUCCGCCGAGACCCCUAGCCUGGGAAAUUCUAAUCUAUGUGCCACAGGUGCAGGCGUGAAAAGGAAAACACACACACACACAAAACUGAGUUGUUUGCUGUACAGCAGAAAUUAACACAACCUUGUAUACCAACUAUAUGUCAAUAAAAUAAAACGCAGGAAGCUCUUGGGUCUUGAUUCCCAUCUCUGGGUGACUAUUCAUUCAUUUCGCUGGAGAAAUAGUUACGUGUUCCUAAAAUCACGUGUCUGUGUUCCUAACAGCCUGAAAUGCCCAACCGCCAUCAAGGGGCUCAUCAAAUAACCGGCACCUGGCCACGGUGAUCCUUCCAGAUUCUGAAAAAUGCCCAACUCCAAGACACAGCUGGCCCUUGGCUUUCUGAGGCUCAGAACUACGUUGUCUUAGGAAGGCUGGAGCACACGGAAGGGGGAAGGUCCUUUUCCUGGUUGGUCUAAUGCACCGGCUUUUCCUCCAACAACACAGGAGGCUUUUGGAGUUCUCAUCAUGGCUCAGCUGAAACGAAUCUGACGAGCAUCCAGGAGGACGCAAGUUCAAGCCCUAAUCCCGCUCAGUGGGUUAAGGAUCCGGCGUGGCUGUGAGCUGUGGUGUAGGUCGCAGACGCGGCUUGGAUCUGGCGUGGCUGUGGCUGUAGCUCCGAUUUAGCCCCUAGCCUGGGAACCUCCAUAUGCCACAGGGUGCAGCCCUAAAAAGGCAAAAUCAAGCAAUCAAUCCAUAAACUAAAAAUAAAGAAACAAAAGAAAAAAAAGAGGCUUUUGUUUCCAGAUAAGGCAGGUGGCUUCGAUUUAUGGGCCAUUCUGUGUCUUUUUUUAAAAAAUUAGAGUUGAUUCACAACGUUGUGCCAGUGUCUGCUGUACAGCCAGGUGACCCAGUCGUACCUGUAAACACAGCCCUUUUCUGAUCUCAUGGUCUCUCUCAAGAUGUCCUUUUUUUCCACUUGGCCCUUUUGGCUCCAUCUCUGUGAUUCUGAUUUCAAAAAGGUCAGGCUGAGGAGUAUGACUCCCGCAGGGGGUCCCUCGAAUGCUUCAGGGUCUAGGGCGGCGUGGCCGUACAUGGACGGCGGGUGAUACCUCUUAUUCCUCAGUGGGAUGCCUGGCUGAUGCUCGUACCUGUGUCUGCAGGCAAGACAAUCACACUGCAUGACGCAUGCGAGGGGGACCUCUGCCUGCCCAAGUCUGUCUCGUCUUCCCCAACAUACUCACCUGUCUCAUCUUUCUCUGUGCCUUUAUUAAAGUCCAGUUAUGUGCAGUGUUGUGUCCAUGUCUGCCAUACAGCAGAGUGACCCCGUCCUACACAGAUUUACAUUCUUUUUCUCUUACUAUUGUCCAUCCUGGUCUGUCCCAAGAGACUGGACAGAGUUCCCUGUGCUGCACAGCAGGCCUUCAUGGCUUGUCCAUUCUCAAUGUCACAGUUUGCAUCUACGGACCCCCACACUCUGCGUCCAGCCCACUCCCUCCCCCUCCCCGCGGUUCACAUCUUUCAGCGCCAGCAGAGAACAGGGAAAGGGCUGCCGGUUCUCUGGAGAAUCCUCCAUCCUUCCCAAGCCUCCGCCACCUUCUCUAGGCUGUUGGCAUUUCUCCACCACCCCACCCGCCUCCUGUCCCCCGCCCCACACACCCCGAAAACUCCGACACACCCCACGUCAUGUGGGUCUUGCAUCUGGGGAGCGGGAGAAAUAAGACCUGAGGACGGCGGACGUCAGCAGCGGGAUGCAAGCGGAGCCCAGGCGACACAACCCAUCUGCGCGCUCCAAGGUCCCUGCAAACAGCGCAUGCCGAGCCUCCGUCUCCCUCUGUCUGUCUCUCUCUCUCACACUCACACACACACACCCCAUGACAGCACAAACCGGGCACCUUCGCCUGGAGGUUUCAACAGCCAAGCACAGCUCCCCUCUUACAGGGACGGCCUUGUGCUCACAGGGAAUGAAAAGGCAUCUCCGCCCCCGAGGUCACAGCAGAGGGUGGAAGAAACAGCCCCGGGGGAGGCGUGGCAAAGGCGGAAAAAAACGCCUUCCUCUCAUCAGUGGGGAGAGACCUCUGCUCUCCCUCCGCCCCGAACCCACAAACGGUCCCAAGGGCAGGAAGGUCACAGAGGGACCCCAGGCAAAGCCUGGGCCCUUCAGACGCCACGUGGAAGAGCGCCCCCCACCGCCAGUUGAUCUCUGAAAACCCACAAAGGGAAGCACGUGUGACAGCAAACUCCUGUUGUGGCUGGUGGGGGCUGUUUUCAAUUGGUUUAAGCUGAUGGGGGCUGUUUUCAGUUGGUUUAAGCUGCUGAGGGUUGUUUUCACUUGUGGGGGCUGUUUUAAGUUGGUUUAAGUUGGUGGGGACCGCUUUCAGUUGGUUUAAGUUGGCACAGGUUGUUUUCAGCUGGCUUAAGCUAGCGUGCAUUGUCUGCAAUUGGUUUAAGUGGGUGCGGGUUGUUUUAAGUUGGUUUACGUUGGUGGGGGUUGUUUAAAGUUUGUCCCGGUUGGUGGGGGCUUUUUUUAAGUGGGUUUAAGUGGUUGGGGCUGUUUUGAGUUGGUUUAAGCUGGUGCAGGUUGUUUUAAGUUGCUUUAAGUUGGUGGUGGUUGUUUUAAGUUGGUUUAAGCUGGUAUGGGUUGCUUUAAGUUGGUUUAAGUUGGUGGGGGUUGUUCCAAGUGGGUUUAAGCCACUAAGGGUGGCUCUAAGUUGGCUUAACCUGCUGUGCGUUGCUUUAAAUUGGUUGAAGCUGGUGGAGAAGCCGCGGGAAGACGGUUGAUUUAAGUUACCUGGAACUGAAAUCACUUGGGAAAAAAUCCACAGAGAAUGAGAACAGCAGGGGUAGGCUGCCAUGCUAAGGACAAAAGACACAAUUCUGGUCUUCAUUUCAGGUCCGGGGGUCAGAGGGGGUGAUGACAGACCUAACAGGGAGGCCACCUGCUCCGAUUUCAGCCAAACAGGCAGGACCCUGCAUCCCCCUCUGCUCUCCUCCCAUCCCCCACAGCACCUUC